AUUGAACGCUGGCGGUAUGCUUUACACAUGCAAGUCGAGCGGCAGCACGGGGGCAACUCUGGUGUAGAGCGGCGAACGGGCGAGUAAUACAUCGGAACAUGCCCAUCUGCGGGGGCUAACACUUCGAAAGAAGUGCUCAUACCGCAUACGUCCAGAGGGAGAACGCGGGGGAUCGCAAGAUCUCGCGCGCUUGCAGUGUCCGAUGUCAGAUUAGCUAGUUGGUGGGGUAAAGGCCUACCAAGGCAACGAUCUGUAGCUGGUCUGAGAGGAUGAUCAGCCACACUGGAACUGAGACACGGCCCAGACUCCUACGGGAGGCAGCAGUGGGGAAUUUUGGACAAUGGGCGCAAGCCUGAUCCAGCCAUACCGCGUGAGUGAAGGAGGCCUUCGGGUUGUAAAGCUCUUUUGGCAGGAAAGAAACGCCGAGCGCUAACAUAGCGUGCUAAUGACGGUACCUAAAGAAGAAGCACCGGCUAACUACGUG
rnacentral:rRNA from 1 species